GUGAGAAGACGGAGGAAGAGGCCCUGGCUGGGGCAAAUGAGGAGGAGGUGGGGCCGGGAACUGAGAAGGUGCAGGAGGAGGCUGCCUGCAUUGACGAGGCAGAGGAGGAGGCAGGCCCAUCCCUUGAAAAUGACGAGGAGUCCCCAGCCAGCGACCUGGUUGAGCAGGAAGACCAGCUUGCCCCCAAGGUGGACGGGGUGGACGAUGAAACCUGUAAGUAUUCUGGAACCCGGCUCUGCUGAGGAGAAGUCCAGGUGUUGAGGAAGGGCGGGGGGUGCUUUCCUGCCCCUUUGGUUGCAGAGACACUCUGAUUCUGGUUUCCUCCUGGGAAAGGGGGUGAAGGAUGGGGUGAAAGAGACUGACUUCCCACAAAGGGGAAUUUCCAAGUCCUCGGGUCCCUGGAGGAAAGGAGGCUCUUUGUAUGGUGGGGGUAGGUGUCCGGGAACAUUGGGGGGUGUGCGUGUGAGGGCCUGUUGGUGUGAUUGUGAACCAGUGUGAGUGGGUGUGUUUUGUGGGGAGUCACUUGUGCCUUAGCACCACAUAGCUGUCCAGUUUCUCGUUGAACAGUCUCAUGAUGACCGCAGGCUAACUGUCCAUUCCCUCAUUCUCCCUGCACCCGCUGGGAGCAAGGUUUGGGGAAAAGGCUUUCCUUCCUCUGUUGGUCUUUCGUUUCCUCUUUUCUUCCCCCUCUGCUUGGUGCAGACUUUCAUGCUGUUGUUUCAAACAUGUGCCAUGAACUCGAGCCUCUUGAGGUUGUAAGUGUCCCGAGGAGUGUUGUGAACGCUGUGCUCCCCCCGCACCUCCUGCCCACUCGGGGCAGCCACCCUUCCAGCCUCUGCUCAGGAGUGGUCUUUCAGACACCUCAUGUGCAUGACAUCAGAGAGUCUUUGUCCUUCUGUGUCUGACUGGCUUCACUUGAAGUGAUGUCCUCCAGCGAGUUCCUGUUGAGGCUCAGAGCUCAUGAACCUGACCAGUACCUAUGAGGACACGGGUUCGACCCUUGGCCUUGC
rnacentral:lncRNA from 1 species